CAGAGGUACAUCUCCUUGAGACCUCCUCAGACCACCUUGGCCCACCUUGACUUUCUCAGAUUCUAAGUGGCUCAGUGAAAUUAAGGAGAAGAUGGAUUUAUUUAAAAAUAGAGUUAAGAGGAGAUGAUAACAAGAGAAGAAAUGAAAAGGAAGCUGGCAGAACCAAGAAAAGAUGUUAAGGAGAAAAAUAAAACCAUUGCGCAACUGAAGACCGCAUUUCUGGAGGCUAGAAGUCCAAAUUCAACUUUAUUGGGCUGAAAUCAAAGAGUCAGGAGGAUACCUGUGAUGGCAUUUAGGCCCACCUGGGUGAGCCAGGACACUCUCUCCAUCUCAAGAUCCUUACUUGAAUCACAUCUGCAAAGCCCUCUUUCUGCCAGGCAAGAAGCAGGAUUGCAGGCCACCUUUUGCAGGCCCAGCCCAGGUUUGGAACAAGGCUUCCUCUGCAAAAGCUGGAUGCUGUGAGCUCUGUCAGCUGCAAUGCUCUACCCCACACCUGCCUGGGUUUCCGGAGUGCAUACUCUAUUUGGGAGCAAUGCCUGCCUUGAACUCCAACAGUAUUUUGUCAGCAUCUUUCCCCAAAGACUAAACUCUACAGCCUAUAUCAAGUAUCAGCCACUGGAGAAAGCCGAGAAAUGGAGAAAUUGAGAAACUUGGCAACACAUCCAGUAAAGAGCUGAAGCUUUUAUAACAGCACAAUACAGGAACAAAAAGGAUAGCUUUGGGGAAUGCCAGCCUUUCCAAGGUCUUCAGUCAACUGAUGAGACCCACCCACAUUAGGGAGCAUAGUCUGCUGUACUCAGUCUACCAAUUCAGCUAUGAAGCUCCUCCAGAAACUCCCGCACAGCCACAUCCCAAAUAAUGUUUGGCCAAAUGUCUGGGUACCCUGUGGCCCGGUCAAGUGGACACAUGAAAGUCACCAUCACAGUGGGGUCCUCAAGGAAAGGAAUGAAAGAGACAAUCCAGCUUUGCAUUUAGCACUGAUGCAAUGGCCUGUGAAACCAGACGUGACAAACGUGGCAAGUAGAAGUGUCACAGACAUAAAUUUGAGCAUUUCUCAGAUUUUUCUUUGCCUGGAGUUUGAUCUCAAUAGUCAUUCAAUUUGUCCCUUAGGACAAAUUUAUUUUCUCUCUUUCUUCUCUCCUCAUUCUCCUCCAUCACCAUUAUCAUCAUCAUUGUCACUGUCAUAAUCAACAUCCAAAGUGUAUGGAGUGCCUGCACUCACGUGGCUCUGUACCAAGAAGGAAUUUGGAAUUCAUGGAGGAA